CCAGAAUUCACGCUUUGGCCAUGUUGUCUUCCAGCCACGUUCCUUCCUAGCAAGUGCCAACUGCUCGAGGUUCCGAGGGUUCCUGUUAGUGAAAUCUGGGGAAACAACCUCAUUCUCCCUUGUGUCUAUGUCACUCACAGAUUUGAGGCCAGCUGUAGCUGACGAAUAACGGAAACCCGCUCCACACGCCUGGAGCCGGCCAGCCGCCAGCAACAUGCAGCCGCGACCGCCCAGCGCCAUGAAUAGCCAGCGCCCGCCACGACCUCAGGCGACAGUCACCUCCCGGGCGCUCAGAGAACCCUGGGCGCCGCCAUCUUGGGUGAGCCCGGCACUUCCCUCCGGAAGCCGGAGAGCACUUCCGCCCAGAGGGUUCUGUCACGUGAUGGCAGUGGGCGGGCUGCUGCGCGCGCACACAGCACGGAUUUUCCGGGUGGAAAGCGUGUAGUCUGCACGCUAACGGAGACAGGCCCAGGAGGUGUGGUGGCUUUGAGUAGUGGCCUCUCGUGGCCUUUCUCUAUGGCUAGAAAAGAAAGCAGGACUUGAGACAAUACAAAUCUUGGUUUUGCGACCAGGAGAAUAAUGAAUUCCAUUAAAAAGCGAAGUAACGCGUAAUGCCAUAGGCAAAAGUGCAGAAAUGCCACGCCACAAGACUGGCGUUAGAUUUGGGCCCCUUUUCCAGCCACAGUCCAGGGAAGAGCACCGCGGUGCGCCCACAGAGCCGUUCCCAGCUCUAGCAAGCUCCGCCCGAGCCACUGAUCCCCCGCCAACGACACCGCUACAUCAGCC
rnacentral:lncRNA from 1 species